UUACUGUGUGUUUCUCUACCUACCUCUCAUUCUCACCUUCUUUUCCUAGCUUUUUUUUCUCUUUAUUUUUCCCCUAGGAUUCUCCUCAUUUCAAGCCCUUCUUCCUUCUCCUGCUCUUCCCUCUAUUCCUUCUCUUCCACUUGUUCUGCUCCUUUCUCACUUCUUUCACCUCUUAUUCUUCUUUCUGCCCAAUAUUUGUCUCCAAUUUUCAUAUAGUUCUGCCUCUUUCUUCCCCCCGUCUCUGCUGCCCCCUAGCUUCCCCUGUUAAAUCCCCUCUUCCCUGCUAUAUCCACCUGUCCCCUCUGGCAUCCCCAGAUCCCAGUUCUCCCCAGGCUGUGGUUCUCCCUGUGCUCUCCUUGUCACCGGCUGCCCCUCUUGCUCUCCCAGCACCAUGCUGCUCUGUCUGCCCUGGCUCCAAAUCCCUCCUUCUCUCCCCAACUCUCCAUCUGAGGAGCCUCCCCUUUUCUGCCCCUCUCCCUAUCUUGCUGAACUUUCUCUCUCUAGAAACCCAGUUUUUCUCUAAAUUUCUCUAGUUGCUUUUCUCCCCCUGCUCCUUUCUCAGCAUCUUCAUGCACUGUCUCUGCAAAUCCCUCAUCCACCAUCUACUUUGCCAUCUGUUUUGUUUUGUUUUUUGUUUUUUGAGAUGGAGUUUUGCUCGUCGCCCAGGCUGGAGUGCAAUGGUGCGAUCUUGGCUCACCGCAACCUCCGCCUCCCGGGUAAAAGCGAUUCUCCUGCCUCAGUCUCCAGAGUAGCUGGGAUUACAGGCAUUCGCCACCAUGCCUGGCUAAUUUUGUAUUUUUUAGAGACAGGGUUUCUCCAUGUUGGUCAGGCUGGUCUCAAACUCCUGACCUCAGGUGAUCUGCCCGCCUCAGCCUCCCAAAGUGCUGGAAUUACAGGCGUGAGCCAUUGCACCCAGCUGCCGUCUGUUUAUGGGUCUCCUUCAUUCUUCUUUCCCAUUUCACCAUUUUUCUAUUUCCUCUCCUCCACACAUUCAUAGGGAGGGGACUGCAGUCAGAUCCCCACCUCAAGAGCACAUUUUCUGUGGGAUGGAAUUUGGGACAAGAGAAACCUUAACGUCCUGAGAUAGAAGUCACGUCCCCACACUCGAUAUCAGGAGAAGGGGAGGCCUGGGGAGCAGAAGGGCCCCCGAUCAAGGAGGAAAAAGGCAGGAGAAAGUCAGGAGAGGGGCAGGGUCUGCAGGAUCCCAGGACCAGGAAGAGUUCACGGCCUCCCUGGGACUGGGGCUGCAUCGCUGCGCUCCAGGAGCCGACGAGGGAGCGGAGCGGAUGGGAAGCGCCCAGGGCGGGAAUCAACCUUGCGGUGAGGACUUUAAAAAAGGUGCGGGCCAGUGCAGGGGACACUGAAGGACUUGAGGCAGGAAAACUCCGCGAUAAGAGCUGUCUAUAUGGCCCUGUGGCAGAAGCACGGGUGACACGACCCCAUGGAACUGGGUCCAUUAAACCUCUGUCUUCAUAAAUUACCCAGUCUCGGGUAUUUCUUUAUUAGCAGUGUGAGAACAGACUAAUACAGUAAAUUGGUAAUGGUAUAGAGUGGGGUGCUGCUAUUAGGAUACCUCAAAAUGUGGAAGCAAAUUUGGAACUGGGUAACAGGCAAAGGCUGGAACAGUUUGGAGGGCUCAAAAGAAGACAGGAAGAUGUGGGAAAGUUUGGAGCUUCCUAGAAAAUGGUUGUUGAAUGGUUCUGACCAAAAAGUCCAGGCUGAAGGUGGUCUCAGAUGGAGAUGAGGAACUUUAUUGGAACUGGAGCAGAGGUGAGCUGCAGGGGCGGAGCCCUCAUGGAGAACCUCUGCUAGAGCAGUGCAGAAGUAAAAUGUGGGGUUGGAGCCCCCACACAGACUACUCACUACUCGCCUAGUGCAGCUGUGAGAAAAGGGCCACCCUCCUAUAGACCCCAGAAUGGUAGAUUCACCGACAGCUUGCACCAUGUGCCUGGAAAAGUAGCAGACACAACACCAGCCUGUGAAAGCAGCCAGGAGAGGAGCUGUACCCUGCAAAGUCACAGGGGCAGAGAUGGGUUCCCUGCAAGACCAUUGGAACCAACCUCUUGCAUAAGUGUGACCUGGAUGUGAGACACGGAGUCAAAAGAGAUCAUUUUGGAGCUUUAAGAUUUGACUGCCCUGCUGGAUUUCAGACUGGCAUGGGGCCUGUGACCUGUUUUGGCCAAUUUCUCCCAUUUGGAACGGGCAUUAUUUACCCAAUACCUGUGCCUCCAUUGUACCUAGGAAAUAACUUAACUUGCUUUUUAUUUUACUGGCUUAUAAACAGAAGAGACUUGCUUGUCUCAGAUGAAACUUUGGACUGUGGACUUUUGAGUUAAUGCUGAAAUAAGUUAAGACUUUGGGGGACUGUUGGGGAGGCAUGAUUGGUUUUGAAAUGUGAGGACAUGAGAUUUGGGAGGGACCAGGGGCAAAAUGAUAUGGUUUGGCUGUGUCCCCACCAAAUCUCAUCUUGAAUUGCAGCUCCCAUGAUCCCCACAUGUGGGAGGGACCCGGUGGGAGGUAACUGAAUCAUGGGGGUGGGAUUUUCCUGUGCUGUUCUCAUGAUAGUGAAUAAAUCUCAUGAGACCUUAUGGUUUUAUAAAGGGCAGUUUCCCUGCACGGGCUCUCUCUUGCCCGCCACCAUGUAAGACAUGCAUUUGCUCCUCCUUCACCUUCUGCCAUGAUUGUGAGGUCUCUCUAGCCCUGUGGAACUGUGAGUCCAUUAAACUUCUUUUUCUUUAU
rnacentral:sRNA from 1 species